rnacentral:rRNA from 1 species
UGAUCCUGGCUCAGAUUGAACGCUGGCGGUAGGCUUAACACAUGCAAGUCGUGCGAGAAAGUAUCUUCGGAUAUGAGUAGAGCGGCGGACGGGUGAGUAACGCGUAGGAAUCUACCUAGUAGAAGGGGAUAGCCCGGGGAAACCCGGAUUAAUACCGUAUACCUCCUUCGGGAGAAAGAAGGCCUCUCUUUGAAGCUUUCGCUACUAGAUGAGCCUGCGUAAGAUUAGCUUGUUGGUGAGGUAAAGGCUCACCAAGGCGACGAUCUUUAGCUGGUCUGAGAGGACGAUCAGCCACAUUGGGACUGAGACACGGCCCAGACUCCUACGGGAGGCAGCAGUGGGGAAUAUUGGACAAUGGGCGCAAGCCUGAUCCAGCCAUACCGCGUGUGUGAAGAAGGCCUUCGGGUUGUAAAGCACUUUAAGCAGGGAGAAAAAGUUAUAAGUUAAUACCUUAUAACCCAGAUGUUGCCUGCAGAAUAAGCACCGGCUAAUUCCGUGCCAGCAGCCGCGGUAAUACGGAAGGUGCAAGCGUUAAUCGGAAUUACUGGGCGUAAAGCGCGCGUAGGUGGUUUGUUAAGUUGGAUGUGAAAGCCCUGGGCUUAACCUAGGAACUGCAUCCAAAACUAACUCACUAGAGUACGAUAGAGGGAGGUAGAAUUCAUAGUGUAGCGGUGGAAUGCGUAGAUAUUAUGAAGAAUACCAGUGGCGAAGGCGGCCUCCUGGAUCUGUACUGACACUGAGGUGCGAAAGCGUGGGUAGCGAACAGGAUUAGAUACCCUGGUAGU